UACGUAGGGGGGCUAGCGUUGUCCGGAAUUAUUGGGCGUAAAGCGCGCGUAGGCGGCCCGGUAAGUCCGCUGUAAAAGUACCAGGGCUCAACCCUGGAAAGCCGGUGGAUACUGUCGGGCUAGAGUCCGGAAGAGGCGAGUGGAAUUCCUGGGUGUAGCGGUGGAAUGCGCAGGAUAAUCAGGAGGAACACCGAUGGCGAAGGCAGG
rnacentral:rRNA from 1 species